UACGGAGGGAGCUAGCGUUGUUCGGAAUUACUGGGCGUAAAGCGCGCGUAGGCGGCUUUGUAAGUUAGAGGUGAAAUCCCCGGGCUCAACCUGGGAAUUGCAUUCGAUACUGGAUAGCUAGAGUUCGGCAGAGGGAAGCGGAAUUUCGGGUGUAGCGGUGAAAUGCGUAGAUAUCCGAAGGAACAUCAGUGGCGAAAGCGGCUUCCUGGACCAGAACUGACGAUCAGGCACGAAAGCGUGGGGAGCAAACAGG
rnacentral:rRNA from 1 species